rnacentral:rRNA from 1 species
AUGAUCUUUCCGAGUUCUGCAAAUAGUUGCUACAAACAAUUGUGUUUGUUUAGGUUCAAAUUUGGAUAUCUACAUAAAUCUGCCUCCAGGUUGCAGAAAUAUGAAAACUUCAUAAACACAAUGCUGAUUAUUUGUACUGAUAGCAAGGUACUCCCUCCGUCCCAAAUUACUUGUCGCAGAAAUAAAAUAAAAAUGGAUGUAUUUAAAACUAAAAUAUGUCUAGAUACAUCCAUUUCCGUGACAAGUAAUUCCGGACAGAGGGAGUAUUUAUCAUCAGUUUCUUUAUACUGGGUAAUGUAUUACAAAUUCGCAGUCAUGUACGAUCUCUCUGAAUUUUGUGAAGAAAACCUAUCAGAGCAGUAUAAUGUUUUAUCUUGGGUUAUUCUGCACUGA